GGAGAGGUGGCCGAGUGGCUGAAGGCGGCGCCCUGCUAAGGCGUUAGGGGGGUUGUACCUCCCUCGUGGGUUCGAAUCCCACCCUCUCCGCCA
rnacentral:tRNA from 1 species